UACGGGGGGGGCAAGCGUUGUUCGGAUUUACUGGGCGUAAAGGGCGCGUAGGCGGUAGCACAAGUCAGUUGUGAAAUCUCCGGGCUUAACUCGGAAAGGUCAACUGAUACUGUGCGACUAGAGUGCAGAAGGGGCAACUGGAAUUCUCGGUGUAGCGGUGAAAUGUGUAGAGAUCGGGAGGAACACCGGUGGCGAAGGCGGGUCUCUGGGCAAUUCCUGACGCUGAGGCGCGAAAGCGUGGGGAGCAAACGGG
rnacentral:rRNA from 1 species